GACGAACGCUGGCGGCGUGCUUAACACAUGCAAGUCGAACGGAAAGGCCCUGCUUUUGUCGGGUGCUCGAGUGGCGAACGGGUGAGUAACACGUGAGUAACCUGCCCUUGACUUUGGGAUAACUUCAGGAAACUGCGGCUAAUACCGGAUAGGAGCUCCUGCUGCAUGUUGGGGGUUGGAAAGUUUCGGCGGUUGGGGAUGAACUCGCGGCUUAUCAGCUUGUUGGUGGGGUAGUGGCUUACCAAGGCUUUGACGGGUAGCCGGCCUGAGAGGGUGACCGGCCACAUUGGGACUGAGAUACGGCCCAGACUCCUACGGGAGGCAGCAGUGGGGAAUAUUGCACAAUGGGCGGAAGCCUGAUGCAGCAACGCCGCGUGCGGGAUGACGGCCUUCGGGUUGUAAACCGCUUUCGCCUGUGACGAAGCGUGAGUGACGGUAAUGGGUAAAGAAGCACCGGCUAACUACGUG
rnacentral:rRNA from 1 species